rnacentral:rRNA from 1 species
UACGGGGGGAGCAAGCGUUGUUCGGAUUUACUGGGCGUAAAGGGCGCGUAGGCGGCCACCGCAAGUCGACUGUGAAAUCUCCGGGCUUAACUCGGAAAGGUCAGCCGAUACUGCGGGGCUAGAGUGCAGAAGGGGCAACUGGAAUUCUCGGUGUAGCGGUGAAAUGCGUAGAUAUCUGGAGGAACACCGGUGGCGAAGGCGGCGUCCUGGACCAACACUGACACUGAUGAGCGAAAGCCAGGGGAGCAAACGGG